rnacentral:rRNA from 1 species
AAGUUGUUGCAGUUAAAAAGCUCGUAGUUGGAUUUCUGGCGGGAGCGACCGGUCGGCGCUUAACGGCGUGUGCACUGGAGUUGUCUCUUGCCAUCCUUGAGGAGAACGUGUCUGGCGUUAAGUUGUCGGGCUUGGGAUCCUCAUCGUUUACUGUGAAAAAAUUAGAGUGUUUAAAGCAGGCAUUUGCUGUGAAUACAUUAGCAUGGAAUAAUAAGAUAGGACUUUGGUGCUAUUUUGUUGGUUUGCGUACCAAGGUAAUGAUUAAUAGGGAUAGUUGGGGGUAUUCGUAUUCAAUUGUCAGAGGUGAAAUUCUUGGAUUUAUGGAAGACGAACAACUGCUAAAGCAUUUACCAAGGAUGUUUUCAUUAAUCAAGAACGAAAGUUAGGGGAUCGAAGAUGAUUAGAUACCAUCGUAGUCUUAACCAUAAACUAUGCCGACUAGGGAUUGGGCGUCGAUAAUUUAAUGUCAUGCUCAGCACCUUAUGAGAAAUCAAAGUCUUUGGGUUCCGGGGGGAGUAUGGUCGCAAGGCUGAAACUUAAAGGAAUU